rnacentral:rRNA from 1 species
GUGAACGCUGGCGGCGUGCUUAACACAUGCAAGUCGAACGGUAACAGGAAGUAGCUUGCUACUUUGCUGACGAGUGGCGCACGGGUGAGUCAACUAUAGUUAAUGUGCCUCUAAGACUGGGAUAGCCACUGGAAACGGUGAUUAAUACUAGAUACACCUCUUUAGCUCAAGCUAGAGAGGGAAACGUUUUUUCGCUUCGAGAUCAGACUAUAUCCUAUCAGUUAGUUGGUGAGGUAAUGGCUCACCAAGGCUAUGACGGGUAUCUGGUUUGAGAGGAGGAUCAGACACACUGGAACUGAGACACGGUCCAGACUCCUACGGGAGGCAGCAGUGAGGAAUAUUGCACAAUGGAGGAAACUCUGAUGCAGCAACGCCGCGUGGAGGAGGACGCAGUUCGGUGUGUAAACUCAUUUGAAGAGGGAAGAUAAUGACGGUACCUCUUGAAUAAGCACCGGCUAACUCCGU